UGACGUCAAGUCCUCAUGGCCCUUACAUCCCGGGCUACACACGUGCUACAAUGGCAGGUACAGAGGGCUGCGAAGCCGCGAGGUGGAGCGAAUCCCAGAAAACCUGUCUCAGUCCGGAUUGAAGUCUGCAACUCGACUUCAUGAAGGCGGAAUCGCUAGUAACCGCGAAUCAGCAGGUCGCGGUGAAUACGUUCCCGGGCCGUU
rnacentral:rRNA from 1 species